rnacentral:rRNA from 1 species
AGCGAACGCUGGCGGCAGGCUUAACACAUGCAAGUCGAGCGGGCCCUUCGGGGUCAGCGGCGGACGGGUGAGUAACGCGUGGGAACGUUCCUUCUGGUCUGGAAUAACCCUGGGAAACUAGGGCUAAUACCGGAUACGCCCUUUUGGGGAAAGGUUUACUGCCGGAAGAUCGGCCCGCGUCUGAUUAGCUAGUUGGUGGGGUAACGGCCUACCAAGGCGACGAUCAGUAGCUGGUCUGAGAGGAUGAUCAGCCACACUGGGACUGAGACACGGCCCAGACUCCUACGGGAGGCAGCAGUGGGGAAUAUUGGACAAUGGGCGCAAGCCUGAUCCAGCCAUGCCGCGUGAGUGAUGAAGGCCUUAGGGUUGUAAAGCUCUUUUAUCCGGGACGAUAAUGACGGUACCGGAGGAAUAAGCCCCGGCUAACUUCGUG